GACGAACCGUACGGAACGUUAUUCGGAAUCACUGGGCUUAAAGGGUGCGUAGGCUGCGCGGAAAGUUGGGUGUGAAAUCCCUCGGCUCAACCGAGGAACUGCGCCCAAAACUGCCGUGCUCGAGGGAGACAGAGGUGAGCGGAACUUAGGGUGGAGCGGUGAAAUGCGUUGAUAUCCUAAGGAACACCGGUGGCGAAAGCGGCUCACUGGGUCUCUUCUGACGCUGAGGCACGAAAGCUAGGGUAGCGAACGGGG
rnacentral:rRNA from 1 species